AUGACAGUCGCAGCAGGACCCCCCCAGGGCUGGUUCCUGGGGAGCCUCCUCCUCAGCGUCACAGCCCUGACUCCGCCCCCAGGAUGCCUGGCCUCGGUUGGCAGCAGCCGGAUCAUAGCCGGCGAGGACUGCAGCCCCUACUCGCAGCCGUGGCAGGCGGCACUGUUCACGGAAAACGGAUUUUUCUGUGGGGGCGUCCUGGUGCAUCCACAAUGGGUGCUGUCAGCCGCACACUGUUUCCAGAAGUAUUACCAGGUCUGGCUGGGUCGCCACAACCUGUUUGAUGAUGAAGACACAGUCCAGUUCCUCCAGGUCAGUGACAGCUUCCCACAUCCAGGCUACGACCUGAGCCUCUUAAAGACUCACCCUCAGAUCAGAUGAUGACAGCAGGCACGACCUCAUGCUGCUCCACCUGGCUCGGUCCGCCCAGAUAACAGACACUGUGAAGGUCCUGGCCCUGCCCACUGAGGAACCGUCCUGGGGAGCACCCGCUCUGCCUCUGGCUGGGGCAGCAUCGAACCAGAUAAGUUCAUGUAUGCAUAUGAUCUCCAGCGUGUGGACCUGUCCAGUGACCUGUGUGACACAGCCUACACUGAAAAAGUGACAGAGUCAUGUUAUGUGUUGGGCUCUUGAAGGGCAGCAAAGACACCUGUGUGGGUGACUCGGGGGGUCCCUGAUACGUAAGGGCAUGUUUCAGGGUAUCACAUGAUGGGGCAAUGAGCCCUGUGCCAAACGUAGAACACCCAUCUUGUACACCAAGCUGAUGCCUCAUCUGAAUUGGAUCAAGGACACUAUGGCAGCAAUGCCUGAAUACAGUACAGUCCCUUGCACGCUCGGCGCCCGCUGGAUACACCCAGACGGGCACAAACUGCGCAAGCGCGAUGACUCCAAACACCUGAGGGCCAUUUGGCGCAUCUUCUGA